UAUCCUGUCUGAAUAUGGGGGGACCAUCCUCCAAGGCUAAAUACUCCUGACUGACCGAUAGUGAACCAGUACCGUGAGGGAAAGGCGAAAAGAACCCCGGCGAGGGGAGUGAAAAAGAACCUGAAACCGUGUACGUACAAGCAGUGGGAGCACCCUUUGGGGUGUGACUGCGUACCUUUUGUAUAAUGGGUCAGCGACUUAUAUUCUGUAGCAAGGUUAACCGAAUAGGGGAGCCGGAGGGAAACCGAGUCUUAACCGGGCGUUAAGUUGCAGGGUAUAGACCCGAAACCCGGUGAUCUAGCCAUGGGCAGGUUGAAGGUUGGGUAACACUAACUGGAGGACCGAACCGACUAAUGUUGAAAAAUUAGCGGAUGACCUGUGGCUGGGGGUGAAAGGCCAAUCAAACCGGGAGAUAGCUGGUUCUCCCCGAAAGCUAUUUAGGUAGCGCCUCGUGAAUUCAUCUCCGGGGGUAGAGCACUGUUUCGGCUAGGGGGCCAUCCCGGCUUACCAACCCGAUGCAAACUGCGAAUACCGGAGAAUGUUAUCACGGGAGACACACGGCGGGUGCUAACGUCCGUCGUGAAGAGGGAAACAACCCAGACCGCCAGCUAAGGUCCCAAAGUCAUGGUUAAGUGGGAAACGAUGUGGGAAGGCCCAGACAGCCAGGAUGUUGGCUUAGAAGCAGCCAUCAUUUAAAGAAAGCGUAAUAGCUCACUGGUCGAGUCGGCCUGCGCGGAAGAUGUAACGGGGCUAAACCAUG
rnacentral:rRNA from 1 species